UACGAAGGGGGCUAGCGUUGUUCGGAAUUACUGGGCGUAAAGCGUGCGCAGGCGGCCUUCCAAGUCAGGGGUGAAAGCCCAGAGCUCAACUCUGGAAUUGCCUUUGAGACUGUGAGGCUUGAGUUCGGGAGAGGUGAGUGGAACUGCGAGUGUAGAGGUGAAAUUCGUAGAUAUUCGCAAGAACACCAGUGGCGAAGGCGGCUCACUGGCCCGAUACUGACGCUGAGGCACGAAAGCGUGGGGAGCAAACAGG
rnacentral:rRNA from 1 species